UACGUAGGGUGCAAGCGUUAAUCGGAAUUACUGGGCGUAAAGCGUGCGCAGGCGGUUCGCUAAGACAGAUGUGAAAUCCCCGGGCUUAACCUGGGAACUGCAUUUGUGACUGGCGGGCUAGAGUAUGGCAGAGGGGGGUAGAAUUCCACGUGUAGCAGUGAAAUGCGUAGAGAUGCGGAGGAACACCGAUGGCGAAGGCAGCCCCCUGGGCUAGCACUGACGCUCAGGCACGAAAGCGUGGGGAGCAAACAGG
rnacentral:rRNA from 1 species